UGGGGAUGCGUUCCAUUAGGUUGUUGGCGGGGUAACGGCCCACCAAGCCUUCGAUGGAUAGGGGUUCUGAGAGGAAGGUCCCCCACAUUGGAACUGAGACACGGUCCAAACUCCUACGGGAGGCAGCAGUGAGGAAUAUUGGUCAAUGGACGAGAGUCUGAACCAGCCAAGUAGCGUGAAGGAUGACUGCCCUAUGGGUUGUAAACUUCUUUUAUACGGGAAUAAAGUGAGGCACGCGUGCCUUUUUGUAUGUACCGUAUGAAUAAGGAUCGGCUAACUCCGUGCCAGCAGCCGCGGUAAUACGGAGGAUCCGAGCGUUAUCCGGAUUUAUUGGGUUUAAAGGGAGCGUAGGCGGACGCUUAAGUCAGUUGUGAAAGUUUGCGGCUCAACCGUAAAAUUGCAGUUGAUACUGGGUGUCUUGAGUACAGUAGAGGCAGGCGGAAUUCGUGGUGUAGCGGUGAAAUGCUUAGAUAUCACGAAGAACUCCGAUUGCGAAGGCAGCUUGCUGGACUGUAACUGACGCUGAUGCUCGAAAGUGUGGGUAUCAAACAGGAUUAGAUACCCUGGUAGUCCACACAGUAAACGAUGAAUACUCGCUGUUUGCGAUAUACGGUAAGCGGCCAAGCGAAAGCGUUAAGUAUUCCACCUGGGGAGUA
rnacentral:rRNA from 1 species